UGAUGAGCGCAGCUGACCGACGGCAUGCCGCUGACCGUCAUCAGAAAGGGACGAGGUGGAGCGCGAGUGGUGGUGGACGUCCGGGCGCGACCCGCCGCGAGACGGCUACAUUCCCAGAAAUCUACUCGGGUUGUAUCCACGCGUGAAGCCGAAGAGCGACCGCGAGGCGGACGCCUGAGCGCGGCACCGCUGCCGCCACGCGAGUGCCAUCUGUGAGAGCUAGUACAAAGGUGUGAUUGGUGCGGAGCCCGCCAGGGUGACAUAUCUCGGCCGACCUGUGACAGACUGUGCCUUACCAGCCGACAGAACAAGGGCGAGACAGAGACAGACAGACGUAUAUCAGGCACGUCGCUCCGCAAGGCCCGGCCGUAUGGGAGGUCUCGUUUUUACCGUGCCGCCGUGUUGGCGUUCGUUACUGCGCCCCUGGCGACCAGUUCCAGCAUUUAUGACGUAUCCGGCGCAGGUCGGCGCCGCCUCUCAGUCAGUUUUAUGUGCUCCGGUGCGCGCGCGUGCGUUUUUAUCGUGGCGAGAGAGCGCACCUGUUACUCGAAUUUUGUUAUGGCGGGCGGCGCCGACGGUCGUGAGUUACUCAGUGUGAUAUGUGCAGAGCGGCGGGCGAUCCAGGGAGAGAGAGCGAGAGAGGAGCGGGUGCCGACUGCUGUGCAGUGCAUGUGUGGGAGAGAGGGAGGGAGGAAUGUCAUGUGCAGCGCCCCCUGCCGGCGCAGAGUCUCGACUAGUAUUAUGUAAAUAUAUACACACAUACCGAUAUGACGGUGGAACCCGC